rnacentral:rRNA from 1 species
GACGAACGCUGGCGGCGUGCUUAACACAUGCAAGUCGAACGGAAAGGCCCUGCUUUUGUGGGGUGCUCGAGUGGCGAACGGGUGAGUAACACGUGAGUAACCUGCCCUUGACUUUGGGAUAACUUCAGGAAACUGGGGCUAAUACCGCAUAGGAGCUCCUGCUGCAUGGUGGGGGUUGGAAAGUUUCGGCGGUUGGGGAUGGACUCGCGGCUUAUCAGCUUGUUGGUGGGGUAGUGGCUUACCAAGGCUUUGACGGGUAGCCGGCCUGAGAGGGUGACCGGCCACAUUGGGACUGAGAUACGGCCCAGGCUCCUACGGGAGGCAGCAGUGGGGAAUAUUGCACAAUGGGCGGAAGCCUGAUGCAGCAACGCCGCGUGCGGGAUGACGGCCUUCGGGUUGUAAACCGCUUUCGCCUGUGACGAAGCGUGAGUGACGGUAAUGGGUAAAGAAGCACCGGCUAACUACGUG